AAAGAGAAAUAGAGUCAAGGUUAGAAAGAAUGAGAGGGUUGAGAUUUUAGAAAAGGAGAGGGAGAAAUAGCUUAAUUUAGAGAGAGAAAAAGAGUUGAAGUUUAGAAAAAAGAGAGAGAAUAUAGGUUAGAAAGAGAAAGCAUAAUUAAAGAAGUAGAAAGAGAAAUAGAGUCAAGGUUAGAAAGAAUGAGAGGGUUGAGAUUUUAGAAAAGGAGAGGGAGAAAUAGCUUAAUUUAGAGAGAGAAAAAGAGUUGAAGUUUAGAAAAAAAAAGAUAAGUUUAGAGAGAUGAGGUUAGAGUGUAAAGAAAAAUAAUACCAACUAUCUGGCGGGUGGGAAGAAAAAAAAGAUUAGACAUAUUAUAAUUACUCUAAUCCAUUAAUAAAAGGAUACCCACCAUUCCUCAAAGAAAUGAGAUUAGUACUUUAGGAUGCAUCUCAUUUCCAAGUAAAUCUAGUAUUACUAACUAGAUUAUUUAGUGCGUUUAGUCAAAUACCGUCAUAUUUUUUUAUUCCUAUUGGAUUACUAGGAAUCUUAAAAGGAUAGCGCGAACCAAACGCACCCUUAAGGAGAUUUUAGAUAUCUCUUUUAGAGAUAAUUGCCUAUAUACUUCUUAAAACUUCGAAAAUAUUUCAUGUGUCCUUACUUUUGUUUUUUUUUUCUUUUCAAUAUACUCGUCAUAUGUUCCUCUAUUAUUUCAAAAUAUCCCUACAAUUACCACCCCUUUAAGUUAACUUAGCUUAAACAUGAGUUUAAUAGUUAUCAGAGUUAAAAAAAUCAAAAUAUCUUUUUUGCCCUUAACUUAAGAACAAAUAAGAAAUAUUGGUGAUGGUACAAAAGCAUAUUUGAAAAAAUCAAAAAAUAAAAUACUUUUUGUGUCCCAAACUUAAGGGCAAAUAAGAAAUAUUAGUGAUGGUAGAAUGAUAUAUUUGAAAGGAUAAAAUAGUAAUUUUAUAGAGAUAAUAGAGUUCAUUAACAAAUUUUAACUCUAGAAAUAUAUUUGAAAUAAGUUGGAAGAUAAAAAGAAUAUUUUCAAUAUUAGCCUUCUAAGAGAAGUAAAUCAGAAAAUCGGAAACCGAAAACUUUUCAGAAGUAUAUAAACAAUUGCUCUCUCUCCAUAUAUAUAUAUAAAAUAUAAAAUUAUAAAUAUUUUAGCUUUUUGAUAAAUAUAUAUAAUUUUUUUUAAAAAAUAAUAUAAAUACACUAUAUAUGGUGGAGAAUUUUUUUUUAAAAAUAUAUCAGCUAUUAAUAAAAAUUUUAUUAAAUUUCAUUGAUAUGAAAAAUAUAAUAAUAAUUUAACAAAAUUAUUAUUUUAUUAAUUUUGUUUAUGUUGCGUUCGUGUUCUAACUUUUUUUAGAAAUUAUCGAGUCGUAUUGUCCGAAUAGUAUCGUGCCGUGUGUUCUAUUUCGUGUCUCCAAUCGCUUUGCUCGAAUCGUAUCAUGUCUCGUGUUCUAUAUUCGUGUCCAUAUUUGUGUCCAGAUACAGAGUUGGUUAUACGUGGAUGGGACGCAACAGCUACUUUUUUAUGUAUGUUUGGAAAAAGACACCAAAAAGUGCAAAUUUCCAGUGUGUUCUGAAUGUUGGUGGAAAGUUUUAGAUAAAAUUAGUUAAUUUUUUUAAAAAAUAUUAAUAAAAUUUUAACUAAUUGAUUUUAAACUCUGGUCAGAAUAAAUGUAGAUUUUAAAAUAUAAUUUA
rnacentral:lncRNA from 1 species